UGUGUGUGUGUUUGAGUGAGAGAGAAAGCAGGAGAAAGAGAGUAUGACAUUUCAGGGCAUAAUAAAAUGUAUUUUGUGGCAAAAACCAUGACAAUAAUUUGUUGUUUUAUCCUGUAGUUUUACUAUAUUUAUUUGCUUGGUCAGUGUCAUUUUGGGUUUUAUUAUGUUACAAAUGUAACAUUGAUUUUCCAAGAUUUCAGGGGCUUUAAGGGCCCUUAACAUGACUAAAAACAAAUAUAGCACGCACAUUUUCUCUGGCAACAGUGAUCUGAUCAUCUUUGGGACAGAAUAUUAAACCUAAGGCAGCCAUUGAUGUUCCAUGGACUGCUCUUAAACACGCAGAGUAUGAAAUAUUAAUACAUAUUUUCAGCUAAUGUGUUAAUGCUAAUUGCGACUUCUUAUCAGGUAUAUACAAUUACAACACUGUUAUUUCAUUUUCACAUAUUUAGUGCUUUGAUUCAAAUUAUGUUGGCCCUAUACAGUAAUUUGUGUAAUGUAUUAAGUACUUUUUGUCCUUUUGCAGUUUUCUUUAUUGGCUGAAACCUUAGCCCAUGAAAGGCAAGACAUACAAAUCCGUACGAAAGCACAGGAAAAGGCUCUGCAGAAAAUGAAAAGAGAGUUAAGGAACAAGAUGGAGAAAGAGAUUGGCGAGCUGCAGGAGAUCAUCAUUCAGAAUGAUGAAAAUAAUUAUUUCAGAGACUUGGAAGUGGAACGCUUACAGAAACAUGUACAGAUGGCAUCUUUCCAGUACACUACCAGCUGCCUGCAGUGAUCACUAGCCGAUUAAGCGGUGAUAGAUACUGAUUCCCAAUGCAUUUCUCUUACAUGCUAAUCUUUAGAAAGGUACCUUGAAAAUAGAAAUUUAAUGUGUAAACAGUUUUAGAUGUACUUGCAUUGUUCUUGUAAAAGAUUCACAUUAUAUAUAUACAUUGUUUUUUGUAUUGUGUUUAGAAUACCUAAUGUUGCACCUGAAGUACUGGCAUCAAAUCAGACAGAAGUCAGUAUCAGGUUUGACCGGUUUAUAGUGGAAGAUUUUUUGGACUAUAAAUUUGUCUAUAGAACAAGCUAAACUUUUUAAUGAGACUUCCACUGCUGUUAUAGUCUUCCACUUUAUUAGCCUUAAUCUGAGAAAACUGUAAUGUUUGCCAUCUUAAAUGUGCUUCCUGAGUAAGUUUGUGAUCUAGUGUUUUGGUAUUUACAUCAAACUAAAUGUUGAAUUUUUCUUUCUUGAAUAUCUUAUUCCUGCAAAUUCAUGCCAUGAUGUUUUAUGAAUUUAGAUUCCAUCAAUCAAUCUCUGAUGUAAAGGGCAAAUAUUAGCCCAAAAGGGAAAUAUUUAUAAUAAAUUAUGAUCAAUAAAACGUAUUUGGAUCAA